CCUACGGGUGGCAGCAGUGGGGAAUAUUGGGCAAUGGGCGCAAGCCUGACCCAGCAACGCCGCGUGAAGGAAGAAGGCUUUAUGGUUUUAAACUUCUUUUGUUAGGGAAGAGUAGCAGACUGUACCUGACGCCUAAGCCACGGCUAACUACUUACCAGCAGCCGCGGUAAUACGUAGGUGGCAAGCGUUUUCCGGAUUUACUGGGUGUAAAGGGCGUGUAGGCGGGUUGACAAGUCAGAUGUGAAAUCCUGCGGCUUAACCGCAGAACUGCAGUUGAAACUGUUGGUGUUGAGUACAGGAGAGGCAGACGGAAUUCGUGGUGUAGCGGUGAAAUGCGUAGAUAUUAGGAGGAACACCAGUGGCGAAGGCAGUCUGCUGGACUGCAACUGACGGUGAGGCGCGAAAGCGUGGGGAGCAAACAGGAUUAGAUACCCGUGUAGUC
rnacentral:rRNA from 1 species